CCUUACUAUAAGUGUUGUCUAAAUUACUGGUGCCAGAAGACUCGGUAACACCAGAAACGCGAACGUUAGUCGUCUUAAACAGGCGUAAAGAGUGAGUAGGCUGCUUACAAAUUUUUAAUUUAAUAUAAGCAGAGUAAAUUAACAGAAAAAUUCCCUUAAAAAAGGCUAGAAACAAAGAACCUGUUAUUUUAUAAUUUAAUUAAAUUAAAGAAAAUAAAAGCUAGAAUCUUAUUGAGGAUAAACCAAAUAAUACUUAGUGUAGGGAUGAUAUCCUCAGGAUACUAAGUAGAAUA
rnacentral:rRNA from 1 species